UCCUUAGGGUGAAAGAUCCGUCGGUCCGGGAUGGGCAUGCGGCGCAUUAGCUGGUUGGCGGGGCAACGGCCCACCAAGGCGACGAUGCGUAGGGGUUCUGAGAGGAAGGUCCCCCACACUGGUACUGAGACACGGACCAGACUCCUACGGGAGGCAGCAGUGAGGAAUAUUGGUCAAUGGGCGAUAGCCUGAACCAGCCAAGUCGCGUGCGGGAUGAAGGCCCUCCGGGUCGUAAACCGCUUUAGCCGGGGAGUAACGUGCGGAACGUGUUCCGCAGUGAGAGUACCCGGAGAAUAAGCAUCGGCUAACUCCGUGCCAGCAGCCGCGGUAAUACGGAGGAUGCGAGCGUUAUCCGGAUUUAUUGGGUUUAAAGGGUGCGCAGGCGGCACGUCAAGUCAGCGGUCAAAAUGCGGCGCUCAACGCCGUACCGCCGUUGAAACUGGCGGGCUGGAGUUCGUGGGAGGAUUGCGGAAUGCGCGGUGUAGCGGUGAAAUGCAUAGAUAUCGCGCAGAACUCCGAUUGCGAAGGCAGCAGUCCAUCACGCGACUGACGCUCAUGCACGAAAGCGUGGGUAUCGAAC
rnacentral:rRNA from 1 species